rnacentral:rRNA from 1 species
UACGUAGGAGGCGAGCGUUAUCCGGAAUGACUGGGCGUAAAGGGUGCGUAGGCGGAACAUUAAGUCAGCGGUAAAAUCGAGGGGCUCAACCCCUUUAAGCCGUUGAAACUGGUGAUCUUGAGUGGGCGAGAAGUAUGCGGAAUGCGUGGUGUAGCGGUGAAAUGCAUAGAUAUCACGCAGAACUCCGAUUGCGAAGGCAGCAUGCCGGCUCCACACUGACGCUGAGGCACGAAAGCGUGGGUAUCGAACAGG